rnacentral:piRNA from 1 species
UGCAGACUAUUCAUUGGGUGUUUGGGGUGU